rnacentral:rRNA from 1 species
GACGAACGCUGGCGGCGUGCUUAACACAUGCAAGUCGAACGGAAAGGCCUGCUUUCCCUUGUGGAUUGCGGUUACUCGAUUGGCGAACGGUUAAUUAACACGUGAUUGAUCUGCCCCCAACUUGGGUAUAAGCCUGGGAAACUGGUUCUAAUUCCCGAUAGGACUGCAGGUUGGUGCCGGUGGUGGAAAACGAUUUUCUAUUGUUUGGGGAUGAGCUCGCGGCCUAUCAGCUUGUUGGUGGGGUAAUGGCCUACCAAGGCGGCGACGGGUAGCCGGCCUGAGAGGGUGGACGGCCACAUUGGGACUGAGAUACGGCCCAGACUCCUACGGGAGGCAGCAGUGGGGAAUAUUGCACAAUGGGCGGAAGCCUGAUGCAGCGACGCCGCGUGGGGGAUGACGGCCUUCGGGUUGUAAACUCCUUUCGACCGCGAGGAAGCCACCUGGUUGGAAGGGUGGUGACGGUAGUGGUAGAAGAAGCACCGGCUAACUACGUG